GCCCUCGUCGCUCAUCGGACUCCUAAAGCGGGUGCCGCAGGUUCGAAUCCUGCCGGGGGCA
rnacentral:tRNA from 1 species